GUUGUUCAUAUUUGGGGUGCAGGAGUAGGGAGGGUAGGAUCAGUUGGAGAAUUUACAGGGAAAAAUGGAGGUCCAGGUGGAUAGGGUCUUGGUCGGGAAGGAGGCUGUGGAUAACCUGGGGCAUCAGGAUGGAGUGGUGGACCUUAGGGUUGAGGAGGGGGUGGUGGAAAUAUCCCUGGACCAUAGGGUGCGGGAGGAGGAGGUGGUGGAACAAAUCCUGGGCCAAAAGGUUGAGGAGGAGCCAGCGGUCCAGGUGGAUAGGGUCUUGGUUGGGAAGGUGGCUGUGGAUAACCUGGGCC
rnacentral:lncRNA from 1 species